GACGAACGCUGGCGGCGUGCCUAAUACAUGCAAGUUGAGCGCUGAAGGUUGGUACUUGUACCAACUGGAUGAGCAGCGAACGGGUGAGUAACGCGUGGGGAAUCUGCCUUUGAGCGGGGGACAACAUUUGGAAACGAAUGCUAAUACCGCAUAAAAACUUUAAACACAAGUUUUAAGUUUGAAAGAUGCAAUUGCAUCACUCAAAGAUGGUCCCGCGUUGUAUUAGCUAGUUGGUGAGGUAAAGGCUCACCAAGGCGAUGAUACAUAGCCGACCUGAGAGGGUGAUCGGCCACAUUGGGAGUGAGACGCGGCCCAAACUCCUACGGGAGGCAGCAGUAGGGAAUCUUCGGCAAUGGACGAAAGUCUGACCGAGCAACGCCGCGUGAGUGAAGAAGGUUUUCGGAUCGUAAAACUCUGUUGGUAGAGAAGAACGUUGGUGAGAGUGGAAAGCUCAUCAAGUGACGGUAACUACCCAGAAAGGGACGGCUAACUACGUG
rnacentral:rRNA from 1 species